AUGUCUGAUCUUGGCCCUCUUCAGUACUUUCUUGGGGUAGAAGUCUCAUCUACCUUUGAUGGCUUUUUUAUUUCCCAGGAAAAGUAUAUACAUGAUCUUCUUGCUCGUGCUACGCUCACUGAUGAGCGCAUUGUUGAGACUCCCAUGGAGCUCAAUGUUCACCUCCGUGAUACUGAUGGUGACCCCUUGCCUGAUUCGACGCGUUAUCGUCAUCUCGUUGGGAGUAUUGUCUAUCUAGCUGUCACUCGUCCGGAUAUCUCUUAUCCAGUCCACAUUUUGAGUCAGUUUGUCUCUGCUCCAACUUCAGUCCACUACAGUCACCUUCUUCGUGUUCUCCGAUAUAUUCGUGGCACGAUCUCUCACCGUUUGUUCUUUCCUCGCUGCAGUUCAUUACAGCUUCAGGCCUUUUCGGAUGCUACGUGGGCUAGUGAUCCCUCGGAUCACCGUCCUCUUUCUGCCUACUGUAUUUUCAUUGGUGGUUCUCUCAUUGCCUGGAAGACGAAGAAAUAG
rnacentral:rRNA from 1 species